rnacentral:rRNA from 1 species
GACAGAGGGGGCAAGCGUUGCUCGGAAUCACUGGGCGUAAAGGGCGCGUAGGCGGGAUGGCAAGUCAGUCGUGAAAUCUCUCGGCUCAACCGAGAAACGUCGGCUGAUACUGCCGUUCUUGAGGGAUGCAGAGGAGACUGGAAUUCCCAGUGUAGCGGUGAAAUGCGUAGAGAUCGGGAAGAACAUCGGUGGCGAAGGCGGCCUGCUGGGCUGUUGCUGACGCUGAGGCGCGACAGCGUGGGGAGCAAACAGG